AUUUUAAUAGCUCAUAUAUUAGAGUUUUAUAUUGAAGUUAUAAAGGAGAAUUUAAUUCUUAAAAUA
rnacentral:tRNA from 1 species